UCUACUUGGAGGUUGUGCCCUUGAGGCGUGGCUUCCGGAGCUAACGCGUUAAGUAGACCGCCUGGGGAGUACGGCCGCAAGGUUAAAACUCAAAUGAAUUGACGGGGGCCCGCACAAGCGGUGGAGCAUGUGGUUUAAUUCGAUGCAACGCGAAGAACCUUACCUGGUCUUGACAUCCACAGAACUUUCCAGAGAUGGAUUGGUGCCUUCGGGAACUGUGAGACAGGUGCUGCAUGGCUGUCGUCAGCUCGUGUUGUGAAAUGUUGGGUUAAGUCCCGCAACGAGCGCAACCCUUAUCCUUUGUUGCCAGCGGUUAGGCCGGGAACUCAAAGGAGACUGCCAGUGAUAAACUGGAGGAAGGUGGGGAUGACGUCAAGUCAUCAUGGCCCUUACGACCAGGGCUACACACGUGCUACAAUGGCGCAUACAAAGAGAAGCGACCUCGCGAGAGCAAGCGGACCUCAUAAAGUGCGUCGUAGUCCGGAUUGGAGUCUGCAACUCGACUCCAUGAAGUCGGAAUCGCUAGUAAUCGUGGAUCAGAAUGCCACGGUGAAUACGUUCCCGGGCCUUGUACACACCGCCCGUCACACCAUGGGAGUGGGUUGCAAAAGAAGUAGGUAGCUUAACCUUCGGGAGGGCGCUUACCACUUUGUGAUUCAUGACUGGGGUGAAGUCGUAACAAGGUAACCGUAGGGGAACCUGC
rnacentral:rRNA from 1 species